UACGAGGGGGGCUAGCGUUGCUCGGAAUCACUGGGCGUAAAGGGUGCGUAGGCGGGUCUUUAAGUCAGGGGUGAAAUCCUGGAGCUCAACUCCAGAACUGCCUUUGAUACUGAAGAUCUUGAGUUCGGGAGAGGUGAGUGGAACUGGCGAGUGUAGAGGUGAAAUUCGUAGAUAGUUCGCAAAGAACACCAGUGGCGAAGGCGGCUCACUGGCCCGAUACUGACGCUGAGGCACGAAAAGCGUGGGGAGCAAACAGGG
rnacentral:rRNA from 1 species